GUGCCAGCCGCCGCGGUAACACGUAGGGGGCAAGCGUUGUCCGGAUUUAUUGGGCGUAAAGAGCUCGUAGGCGGUUCGGCAAGUCGGGUGUGAAACCCCCAGGCUCAACCUGGGGACGCCACCCGAUACUGCUGUGACUUGAGUCCGGUAGGGGAGCGUGGAAUUCCUGGUGUAGCGGUGAAAUGCGCAGAUAUCAGGAGGAACACCAGCGGCGAAGGCGGCGCUCUGGGCCGGAACUGACGCUGAGGAGCGAAAGCGUGGGUAGCAAACAGGAUUAGAUACCCGAGUAGUCC
rnacentral:rRNA from 1 species